AUUGAACGCUGGCGGCAGGCCUAACACAUGCAAGUCGAGCGGAGCGGCGGAUGGGUGCGUAAUGCCUAGGAAUCUGCCUGGUAGUGGGGGAUAACGUCCGGAAACGGGCGCUAAUACCGCAUCCUUUUAGAUGAGCCUAGGUCGGAUGAGCCAGGUGGUGGGGUAAAGGCCUUCCAAGGCGACGAUCCGUACCUGGUCUGAGAGGAUGAUCGGUCACACUGGAACUGUGCCACGGUCCAGACUCCUCCGGGAGGCAGCAGUGGGGAAUUUUGGACAAUGGGCGAAAGCCUGAUCCAGCCAUGCCGCGUGUGUGAAGAAGGUCUUCGGAUUGUAAAGCACUUUAAGUUGGGAGGCGUUACCAACAGAAUAAGCACCGGCUAACUUCGUGCCAGCAGCCGCGGUAAUUC
rnacentral:rRNA from 1 species